CUAUGCCUGACAUCUGUUUCAAGCAAAUACCAUCUUUUGUAGGUGUUUUCCAAUCCUACAGCCACCACAACAGGAAAAGGGGAGCAGACUCCUGUGGCUUGCUCCCAGACUGGUCCACGGCUUGGAGCCUGUGAGCCCCACCUCCAUUGGAGGUUGCGCCUGCCUUGCAGGCCUGCUGCCCUCCUUUGACUGCUAAG